rnacentral:misc_RNA from 1 species
UCCGGUUUAUCACCGGCAGUCUCCCUAGAGUGCUCGGCACUACCCGUUAGCAACUAAGGACAAGGGUUGCGCUCGUUGCGGGACUUAACCCAACAUCUCACGACACGAGCUGACGACAGCCAUGCAGCACCUGUGCACCGGCCCCGAAGGGAAGGUGUGUUUCCACACCCGUCCGGUGCAUGUCAAGUCUGGGUAAGGUUCUUCGCGUUGCGUCGAAUUAAACCACAUGCUCCACCGCUUGUGCGGGCCCCCGUCAAUUCAUUUGAGUUUCAACCUUGCGGCCGUACUUCCCAGGCGGAGAACUUAUCGCGUUAGCUUCAAUACUGAAAGGUUCCCCUCCCAACAUUUAGUUCUCAUCGUUUACAGCGUGGACUAC